rnacentral:tRNA from 1 species
GGCUGAGUAGCUCAGUUGGUUAGAGCGUUGUCCUGAUACUCCAAGGUUGUGGGUUCGAACCUCAGUCA